GAUUAAUCUAGCUUAUUCGGUUCAAAAAGGCACCAGCCAUAAGAGGAAACGGGGAAAGCUCGGUGAAAUUCCAGCACUGUCCCGCAACUGUAAGCUAUAAAUGUAGCAAGUCAGAAUGCCCGCCGAAAGCAGUAAAAAUAG
rnacentral:ncRNA from 2 species